rnacentral:rRNA from 1 species
GUGGAUUAGAUACCCUGGUAGUCCACACUGUAAACGAUGAUAGCUAGGUGUGGGGGGUCUGACCCCUUCCGUGCCGGAGUUAACGCAAUAAGCUAUCCACCUGGGGAGUACGGCCGCAAGGUUGAAACUCAAAGGAAUUGACGGGGGCCCGCACAAGCAGUGGAUUAUGUGGUUUAAUUCGAAGCAACGCGAAGAACCUUACCAGGUCUUGACAUCCAACUAACGAGAUAGAGAUAUGUUAGGUGCCCUUCGGGGAAAGUUGAGACAGGUGGUGCACGGCCGUCGCCAGCU